AGCAGCCGCGGUAAUUCCAGCUCCAAUAGCGUAUAUUAAAGUUGUUGCAGUUAAAAAGCUCGUAGUUGGAUUUCUGGGAUGUGAGUUAUCAGAGGAGAGUGUGGAUUUAUUUCUGCCUCUCCUUUACACUCUAUCCCAUUUUUUCCUGCAUGUGCAUGCUGGCUGCGCUUUAUUGUGUGGUUGGUGUGUGUGCAGGGCUUUACUUUGAAAAAAUUAGAGUGUUCAAAGCAGGCUAUAUUGAAUUGCUUGAAUAGAUUAGCAUGGAAUAAUGGAAGAGGACUUUGGGCCUGUUUCUGUUGGUUUUUUUUACUGGGUCUGGAGUA
rnacentral:rRNA from 1 species